UACACACAUGAAGAUGCAAGAUUUAUAAAUAGUCAUCAAAAAAUACAAAUAUAUAUUUUUAAUAUUUUAUUAUUAAUAUUAUAUAUUUUUAACUUUUAAAUAUAUUUUUCUAAUUUGGAAACAAAUGUGCUUGACUUUGUGUGUGCAGUCUGCAUUUGUACACCAUUUUCCUGCAUUCGUGGAUAUUUUCUGCAUUUGUGAAUCAUUUCUUUUGCUUUCGUGUCGAUUACGGUAUUUUGAGACAUUCAGAGCGCAGAACAGAUCCACAAACAAAUGCAUGCCGAUUUGAAUCUGAAGACCGGCAAAAACCCUCAGUUCACGGAAUAUCCACCAGAUGGCACUGUGCCAGGCUGACAGGGAUACGGCUCUACUGACAGGGAAAUGGCAUUGCCUAACUGUCCGGUCCGUGACAGAGGGAUCUUGUUAUCUGUGGCUGGAUAGCAUUUGGACAUGACGAAUGUACAUGCUAUGCCAAAGACCAGCCUAUGAUCACAGGUGAUGCAGUGAUUGGUGAUGGCUAUGGUUUUCUUCCCACUGAACUAAACAUGCUAAAACGGAAAAGAAGACAAGAGGACGUGUCAUCCAUGGCAGUGUGUCAUUCUCCCGCUGAUGGUCCACUUUGCAGAGAAAUAUGAGGGGCUCAUUGUACUGGUUAAUGUCUUCCCAGUGGUGAUGUAGAGCUGAUGUGGAGGCAACAGUGCUGCUUCCUUCGUCCUUCCUUUCUUCAAGACCUGCGUUUUUUGUCUUUUGCCAAACUUUAGGCAGUAUCUUAUACAGUAGAAACUAAGCCUAACACUUGAAGCCCCGUAGGCGUUGCUUGACUGACACCAAUCUGACGAGCUUGCUCAGCCGGUGGAAUCUCUUGUAUACAUGAAUAAGCAAACUGGACGUGUUCUUUCUGAACGUUAUUAAUUGUGGCUCACCACAAUGUUGGUGCAUACAGUAGUAGUACGCCAAGUCAGCAUUGUAUGCAAUAGUCCAUUAACGGGAAUGAAACACGACAGAAGUUUAUCAUGCACACACCGAGCGUAGCGUUCAAAACUUUUUGUGUUCCCCUCCGCCAGGCAACACCUGUCAUCUGAGCAAAGGUUCUCCCACGUGUGACCCCCAAUUGCGUUGCAGUGCCAUUGUACAAUUACAGCAUCACAUUAUGUCUAACAGUCUUAUUGCUUUAGUACUUUUUUAUUAGAGGUGAUGUAACCCUUUCAUGGGGAAGGCAGUAGAAAAAGUAUUCAUCAAAACAUCAAAUGAUGUUGUCACACUCAACAGAUUGGAUGAUGAGCAUUGCGCCUGUUUUUGUUUUGUGAUAUAUUUACAUUGUAGUUUGCUGAUGAGUUUUUGUACAUGACUACAGUGAUGGGCAAAUGUACGUUUCUGUGUUUAUUGCAUUAUUGUCUUAACACCUUUUCAUUAUUGCUGUGCUUUAUUUGCAUGCUAUUGUGCAUUGGUGGUGAUACCCUGUGUCUCAUAUGAUAUGACCUGCACCUUACAUGUAUUCCUGGGACAAGAGUGUGCCGGUUGUGCAUAUCUACCACCAACUACUCAGACAACCCAAGGGCAUCUGCUUCUAACACCUGGAACUAAAAAACAGACUGAUGCUGUGCUUUUAAGCGUUUAAUAAACUUUGUUUUAGCUACACUGACUUGUGUGGUUCUUAAAAUGAACAGAUUAUGCCUGAGCAAAAUGUGAUAGAUAUUUUUGUUGUAUAUUAUGAACCCCAAGGAACCCUCCAGCUCUCCAAAUCACCCUCAUAUCUGUUACCUUACAGUAUGUGAAACAGAUGGAGUUUAAACAUCUUUUGUACCUAUAAGAAGCAAGUAGGCCUAGGUCUAAACUUAAAGACUGGUCAACUUUCCUGUUGUCUUAUCUUGUGUAAAGGAUAGCAGAUUUUACUUUUACUUCAUAGGCCUAUAGGCUACUUUUCAUAAGCUAGAACCAGGAUAUAGGCUAACUAGGCUGCUGUGUGUGCACAUUUGACUUUGUGUAUUGUCUGUUUGUACU